rnacentral:rRNA from 1 species
UAAGGCUUUAAUUGAGUGCUAAGUGAAUGGUUUAACAAAAAUUAGCUUUCUUUAAGUUUAUAAUAGAAGUUGAUUUAAAAAUGAAAAAGUUUUUAUUAAUUUUUGGGACAAGAAGACCCUAUGAAUUUUUUUUAUAAUUUUGUUUAAGUUUUUUUAAAAAAAAUGAAAUAUAUUUUAUAAGUUGAUUGGGGUGAUUUUUAAAGAAUAAUUAUCUUUAAAAGCGGGAGUAAUUAGAACCAAAAUUUUUGGUUAUUUGAUUAAAAUACUCUAGGGAUAACAGCGUAAUUAUUUUGGAUAGUUUAUAUAGAUAAAGUAGUUAGCGACCUCGAUGUUGGAUUAAGAUAC